rfam:Clostridium amylolyticum strain DSM 21864 genome assembly, contig: Ga0131114_105
UGAAAUUGAAUAAAAUUUCCGUAGACAGUAGGUGCUGUAGCGUAACGUAAAUCAACCUACCGAGGUUCCAAUACAUUAGCUUGUAAUGGGUCUUCCUGUGUCUGCGGGAAGACCUUUCUUAAUAUAAUA